rnacentral:lncRNA from 1 species
UAAUAUCCAAAAUUUAUAAAGAACUCAAGAAAUUAAAUACCGACAACCCAAAUAAUCCAAUUUAAAAAUGGGGCAGAGAGCUAAAAAGAAUUCUCAACAAGGAAUCUCGAAUAGCUGAGACGAAUUUAAAGACAUGUUCAAAGCCCUGAGUCAUCAGGGAAAUGCAAAUCAAAACAACUCUGAGAUUCUAUCUUACACCCAUCAGAAUGGCUAAUACCAAACAUUCAAGUGAUAGCACAUGCUGGGGAGGAUGUGGAGCGAGGGGAGCACUUCUUCAUUGCUGCUGGGAGUGCAAACUUCUACAACCACUUUGGAAAUCAAUUUGGCAGUUUCUCAGAAAACUGGGAUUAAGAGUUCUACCUCAACACCCAGCUAUGCCACUCCUGGGCAUAUAUCCAAAAGAUGUUCCACAUCCUACAAAGACACUUGCUCAACUAAGUUCACAGCAGCGUUACUUGUAAUAGCCAGAAACUGGAAACAACCUAAAUGUCCCUCAUCUGAAGAAGGGAUAAAGAAAAUGUAUUCCAUCUACAUAAUGGACUACUAUUCAGCUAUGAAAAACAAAGAUACCAUGAAUUUUGCAAGCAAAUAGAUGGAUCUUGAGAAUAUCAAACUAUGUGAAGUAACAAAGUCCCAAAAGGACAUAUACAGUAUACAUUCACUUAUAAGUGGAUAUUAGCCAUAAAAUACAGUAUACCCAUGCUACAGACCCAAGGAGGCAGGAUAGGAAGGAGGGCACAAGCAAGGAUGAUUGAGCCACACUUGGAAGGAGGAAUGGAAUGGUUGUGGAAGGCAGAUGGAGGGAACUGGGUGGGAGAGGGGAUCAGG